rnacentral:tRNA from 1 species
CGGGGCGUAGCGCAGCUCGGUAGCGCGCCUGCUUUGGGAGCAGGAUGUCGCAUGUUCGAAUCAUGUCGCCCCGA